rnacentral:rRNA from 1 species
UUCCGGUUGAUCCUGCCAGAGGUCACUGCUAUCGGGGUUCGAUUAAGCCAUGCGAGUCGAGAGGGUUCGGCCCUCGGCGUACUGCUCAGUAACACGUGGAUAACCUGCCCUAAGGAAGGGGAUACCCCCGGGAAACUGGGUAUAAUACUCUAUAGAUUACAGAUGCUGGAAUGCCCUGUAAUCGAAAGUUCCGACGCCUUAGGAUGGAUCUGCGGCCGAUUAGGUUGUUGUCGGGGUAAUGGCCCAACAAGCCAGUGAUCGGUACGGGUUGUGGGAGCAAGAGCCCGGAGUUGGAUUCUGAGACACGAAUCCAGGCCCUACGGGGCGCAGCAGGCGCGAAAACUUUACAAUGCGGGCAACCGUGAUAAGGGAACCUCGAGUGCCUGUAUAUGCAGGCUGUCCAGGUGUCUAAAACACACCUGAAGAAAGGGCCGGGCAAGACCGGUGCCAGCCGCCGCGGUAAUACCGGCGGCUCGAGUGGUGGCCACUUUUAUUGGGCUUAAAGCGUUCGUAGCUGGGUCGUUAAGUCUCUUGGGAAAUCCGGCAGCUCAACUGUCGGGCGUCUAAGAGAUACUGGCGAUCUUGGAACCGGGAGAGGUGAGGGGUACUUCGGGGGUAGGAGUGAAAUCCUGUAAUCCUCGAGGGACCACCUGUGGCGAAGGCGCCUCACCAGAACGGCUUCGACAGUGAGGGACGAAAGCUGGGGGAGCAAACCGGAUUAGAUACCCGGGUAGUCCCAGCCGUAAACGAUGUGCGUUAGGUGUACCAACGACCACGAGUCGUUGAGGUGCCGAAGGGAAACCGUGAAACGUACCGCCUGGGAAGUACGGUCGCAAGGCUGAAACUUAAAGGAAUUGGCGGGGGAGCACCACAACAGGUGGAGCCUGCGGUUUAAUUGGACUCAACGCCGG